UACGUAGGGUGCGAGCGUUAAUCGGAAUUACUGGGCGUAAAGUGUGCGCAGGCGGCCAUGCAAGUCGAGUGUGAAAGCCCCGGGCUCAACCUGGGAAUUGCAUUCGAUACUGGAUAGCUAGAGUUCGGCAGAGGGAAGCGGAAUUUCUGGUGUAGCGGUGAAAUGCGUAGAUAUCGGGAGGAACACCAGUGGCGAAGGCGGCUUCCUGGCCUGUUCUUGACGCUGAGGCGCGAAAGCUAGGGGAGCAAACGGG
rnacentral:rRNA from 1 species